UACCUAGUGGCAGACGGGUGAGUAACACGUGGUCAACCUUCCCUUUAGUGGGGGAUAACUAGCCGAAAGGUUAGCUAAUACCGCAUACAAUCUGUAUCCGGCAUCGGAAAUGGAUAAAAGGAGCAAUCCGCUUAAGGACGGGACCGCGUCCCAUUAGUUAGUUGGUGGGGUAACGGCCUACCAAGACUCCGAUGGGUAGCUGGUUUGAGAGAGCGACCAGCCACACUGGGACUGAGAAACGGCCCAG
rnacentral:rRNA from 1 species